UGCCAGACUCCUACGGGAGGCAGCAGUGGGGAAUAUUGCGCAAUGGGCGAAAGCCUGACGCAGCGACGCCGCGUGAGGGAUGAAGGUCUUCGGAUCGUAAACCUCUGUCAGCAGGGAAGAACGGUCACUGUGCUAAUCAGCAGUGAAUUGACGGUACCUGACUAAGAAGCCCCGGCUAACUACGUGCCAGCAGCCGCGGUAAUACGUAGGGGGCAAGCGUUAUCCGGAAUUACUGGGUGUAAAGGGAGCGCAGACGGCAGUGCAAGUCUGGAGUGAAAGCCCGGGGCUUAACCACGGGACUGCUCUGGAAACUGUGCAGCUAGAGUGCAGGAGAGGCAGGCGGAAUUCCUAGUGUAGCGGUGAAAUGCGUAGAUAUUAGGAGGAACACCGGUGGCGAAGGCGGCCUGCUGGACUGUAACUGACGUUGAGGCUCGAAAGCGUGGGGAGCAAACAGGAUUAGAUACCCCAGUAC
rnacentral:rRNA from 1 species